GCCGCCGCCAGUACGGUAAUCGGAGUCAUUCUAUAAGCAUGUCCUACUCGUCAUAGUUUUUACGGUUUUCGCGGCUAUAAGUGAAACUCCUGCCCUGGGAUUCAUCAGAAUUCUAUCCCUAGAGCUAACAGACGUUAAACCGCGAUGUUAACAUGACCUGGAUCCUGUCCCUGCUCUGUGUGCGUGUAUGUGUGUGUGUGGAGGCUCACUUUGAGGGAAGGAAGCUGACCCCCAGAGAGACGCCAAGUAUAUACCAAUAUUCGUCACUGCCUCAAGUCCUGCUCGUAUGCAUCGCAUGACAGGCAGCUUGUACCGUAGAAGCUGCAUCGGGCAUCACUUGACGACUGUCUCGACUAAUGCUGUUACGCCGAAACACGAUGAGAUAAAGCCCCCAACGAGCUCCUAAUUCGGUCCUCCUUACAGAGCCUUCUUGAUCACCAAACCGCCGCCUACGCCAUUACCAGUGCAAGGACACUUCGGGUCACUCCAUCAACCACCACCAUAAUUGCCUCCACGACCGUUUGUCCUCGCUACGAAAAGAAAGAGGACCCCGGAUAUCGUUAACACUGGAGAAGACUAAAGGACGAGAGGGGACGGCAGUGAGUGGCGCGGGGAAGAAGAGUUAAGGAGAGCAGAGAGGAGAGAUGUCAGCAAGAUUGUCAGGAAAUUUUCAAAAUACUUUGACGAAUGGAAGGGAAAACAAAUCACAACGGAAGAGUCUUUAAGGGAAAGUCUCCUACACGCUGCUGGAAAGAAGAUACUGAUAAUUUGUGGAACAUAUCGAAAUGUUACAAGAUACCAGAACUUGUGCAAGGAGAGCUUCGAAGUCUUGGAAUAAUGAAAGAGAAACCAAAAUUCAUUGUCUCAGGUCAUCAUGAAGAAAGGACUCCUAUACGCAUUCGGAAAAAAAAGAAAUUGUGGAUCAUACCGGCGUGUUACAAGAGAGCCACGGUUAUUGUUGUCACAGGAGGAGAGGAGAGGACGAGAGGGGAGGGAGGAGGAUACACUGAGGGCUCGUGGAAGAAGAGAACAAGAAAGAGAGCCGUCAAGGAGAGAAGAAAGAGUGCUAUGACUUUUACUGACUGAAAAAAAGUGAAAAAAAAUAAGAAAGGAAGAACAAAAAAAGAGUCAAGGAGAGAAGAGAGAUGAGAGCCUCUGCGUUUGAUUGCCCUUUUCUACGCCACAACGCUGCCGUGGACGACGCAACCCAGCAAUCAUUGGACUGAGUAAUGGCAGCCGACUGGAUGACGUAAAUAUAUUCUGCGGCAAGAGUUACUGGGCAGGCAAGUAAUUUAUUGUCUCACACGAUGACCUCCACUUCGUCUUCAGAGUGUAACCUCAGAGACAUUGUUCAAGGACUCCUGGAUUAUGAAGAAGGGGUGUUGGUGUUUUAUUCUCUCACGCAAGAUAUCCUUCAACUGUUAUUAUUCCACCGGCCUCAUUAUCAGUAAAAGGCCUCGAGAGUUGCUCCCCUUUAUCCUUGUCCUCCCGAGGCGACGAGGCUUCCUGUUCGAGAUUUGAAAUUCGAAGAAGAUUCAUGAGUGGCCUCUGUUCCGAGUCCUGGGAGCCGCGCCGUCGCCUCCUGCCUCUGCUGUUGCUGUUGCCUCGGCGGGAUUGGCUGUUUAUAUCUCUCUCACUCCCUCCCGUGCCUGCGGUUAUCUUGUGUGAGCCCUUGUGCGUUCUGUGGCCUUAUGUGCACUGGGAAAAAAGAUAAAGGGAAGAGUAAGGAACUUCCCCAAGACAAGACCAACAAAGAGAAGGAGCGUGGUGAUGAAUUAUUUUGACACACAUAGAGUUGGUCGAUGUUUAUAUAAAAUGACUUCGAAAAUGUAAACAAGCAUGAACGCAAAUCAGGAAAUAACUGAAGAAAAUUAAUCAGUGACACAAUUGACAUUCUACUCUACUCAGUGGCUGUGAAGUUAAGUUGAACAAAAUCAUACAUUUGCAACCAUAUAUUAUAAUGAUACAUAGGUGUGCAGUCAUCAAGCUUGCAACAUGACACCAAACAGAGAUAAUAAAGAGAAAAACAAGAAGCAAUAACGACAACAUUCUUGUCCACCACCACCACCACCACCACCGUCACAACCGCCACCACCGUCACCACUGCCACUAUGACAACCACCGCCACCACAACCACCACCACCACAAGAAAAGUGAUGGACUAUAAAUGAAAUGGAACGGAACUGCGUGGAAAGUAAGAAAACGAUAACACGGGCACACAACAAGCUGGUGCGGGGGAAGCCUGAAUGUGUGAUCAGGAGAAGACCCUUUGAUAGAUUAUUGAAACAAAGGACAAGAAAGGGGGUUAACGAGAGUGGACUGAAGGAGGACGACUAGGGAAGAGAGAAAAAGGGAAGGAGGAAGAGGAGAAGGAAGACAAGGAGCUGGAGGAAGAAGAGGAGGAGGAGGAGGAGGAGAUGGAACUAUGUCAACAGAG